rnacentral:rRNA from 1 species
GUCGAGAGCGCGCGAACUGUGCGACGUGCGAGGGAGAGUAGCGCGCGUGAGGUCUUCAGCGUCCAAUCCCUGUGCGCCUCAGGGCCUCAGGGGGUACUACACCCAUUCGUCACCACCACACCAAACCCCACAGCGGCUCCUCCGCAGUCGCCCGCAACCCUUUCCCUCGAACCCCGCAGCUGUCGUCCUCCUCCAUCCUCUCGCGCCUCCUCCCACUCCCAUCCAGCCCCUUCCCCGCUCAUCCCUGAAAGGAUCCGAGACGUGCGGGCACGGAGGCGAAGGGCGAUGGCGGCGGCGCUUGAUUUGAGGCAGCGUCAUGGAUCGGCCCCUGCUGAGCGACAAGAUUGCUGGACUGCCACCAUCUCACCUCGCCCCACCAGCUUCCAGCGCCAUGGAUCCGCUGGAGAUGGAGGGCAACAAGUGAGAGGGAGUAGGAGAAGAGGUGAAUCGAGGGAGUGAAAGAAGAACCUGACACGGGAAGGGGAAGAGGGAGUCUUGCGGCGUAUCCUCAUCUCAUCCCGGCUGCAGAUCUUUUGACGCCAUGGAGCCAGCUGCUCUUGCUCGACGGCACGAUACACAACACUGAGAGCAGAGGAAAGUAUGCCCUCUUCAUCUAGGCAGAGGAGCGGGACGGCCAGGAGCUGUCGUCCUGCUACCCUAUGCCAAUGGACGCGCCUCCCAGAUGGCUAGCAACGCCAGAUCCAGCUGGAAAGGACUCUAUGGCAGAUUGAGAAGCUGAUCCAAGCGAAGCAAUGACGUAAGCUGCUAGGAUAACUUCUGCAUGGUACUUCCUGUAAGAAAAGCUUCAUAAUUCGAUCAAGUAUACUGAUGAACAAUGCAUAUAAUGUUCAUAGAUUAUGACUUUACACAUGUAAUGCUGAUUUGAAAAUUUCCCUUGAUUUGUUCCUCAAAUGUUCUGAGAGAGUGUUGCGUAUUAGGAAACCCAUUGGAUAGUUAAGGUGUUGUUUCAGCUGACUAAUAUAAAGUUAUAUUUCCAGCAGAAGAUAUUUGGGAUUGACGUUCUGGUGAGAAAGUAGCAUAUAGAUGGAUGGACAUGAGCUAUCCAGUGUAGGUUCAAACAAUUCAUUCAUUCAUUGCAGGUUCAGCAUGUCUCAUUAUGUCUUUUUGCUUCAUAUUCAGGGUCGAACUGGGCUAUAUUUCUUUCAUUGAGGCGAGGGUGAUUCCAGUAGGUGAGGUGCAUUUUAGACAUCCGGAUGUCUUGCUAUGUUCAGGCGUACUCGCCUUUUUUUCUUGAAGUUAGGCGUUCGCUGUCUCUGUGGCAAGGAUCUGGGGAGUCGGAUUGUGGAUUACAUGUAGUGGGGAAGAAGAGAUGGGGACGAGGAAGAGGACACCCUUGGUGGCGUGCUAUAUCUCACUAGGCGACAAUGUUGAGAGGGUGCCUGGCAUCAAGAACCCGACAUGCUUUUCCGAGAGUUCGUUCAGGUGCAUAGUAUCUUAGUUAGGUAUCUCUGUGCAAGUGUAGUUUGCCUGCAGACUGCAUAGUAUCUUAGCUAGGUCUCUCCGGCAUGCUACCACAAAAGAGGAGCCAUGAUGUUAUGCCUAUAUCUGCAUCGUCUAUCAGUCCUAGAAGUUCUGAUCUUCAUCUACCGUUAAACCGAGUUCAUCUGUCUGGGUAUGGAUGCACACCUUUUUAUGUAAUUGGACAUUAAAAACUAGAGCAUUUGGUUGUACUGCAUCUGCCAAAGCACUGUCGAAACAAGAAAUUUCAGCUAUGUUAUGAGCCGAACCAUAUUAUAUGUGCAUCCUAGGUGGAAUGCUUUCUGUUCAUGAGCUGGUCUCCCAACAUGUACUGUUGAGAAAAGAAAAGAAAGGAGCUUUUAAGUUCUUAAGAGGAGCAAGAGAGCUUAUAAGUUGUACACAUUAGAUCUAGCUUUCUUAUGCUGUUUGUCUAAUUAUUUUCUACUCCCUGUAUUUUCAGUUGUGUAAUAGUAAACACACCACUGUUUGAAGCAUGUUUAUGUCUUGCAGAUCAUAUAUAUCAUAGGCCUUUUUUAACUUCAAGCUAACACAAAAAAUUGUACAGAUAAUUUAUGGUCGCAUUUUGAAAAUUCUAUUGCAUAGUUUGAACCUUCAAUUUUCAUUACUAAAAGGAUCACUGGUAUUGCUGCUGUCCACGGCUUCAGCGGAGCUGCUGUCCACGCUUUUAUCAGAGCUAAUGUUCAC